GCUCACAGGUCCUGGAAUUUCUAAAGCCAUAAUACAAGUAAUUGCUAGAUGUGUUAUGUGCUGGAAGAACAACCCCAAAACAGAACUCCAUCAAAG